rnacentral:rRNA from 1 species
CGGGGGGAGCAAGCGUUGUUCGGAUUUACUGGGCGUAAGGGGCGCGGUAGGACGGGCGCAACAAGGUCACUUGUGAAAUCUCCGGGCUUAACUCGGAGCGGCCAAGUGAUACUGUCGUGCUAGAGUGCGGAAGGGGCAACUGGAAUUCUCGGUGUAGCGGUGAAAUGCGUAGAUAUCGAGAGGAACACCUGCGGCGAAGGCGGGUUGCUGGGCCGACACUGACGCUGAGGCGCGAAAGCCAGGGGAGCGAACGGGAUUAGAUACCCCGGUAGUCCUGGCCUUAAACGAUGGAUGCUUGGUGUCCGGGAUUACAUAGUCCCCGGGUGCCGUCGCUAACGCCUUAAGCAUCCCGCCUGGGGAGUACGCACGCAAGUGUG